GGGUUGUGAGGUUAAGCGACUAAGCGUACACGGUGGAUGCCCUGGCAGUCAGAGGCGAUGAAGGGCGUGCUAAUCUGCGAUAAGCGCCGGUAAGGUGAUAUGAACCGUUAUAACCGGCGAUACCCGAAUGGGGAAACCCAGUGUGAUUCGUCACACUAUCAUUAACUGAAUCCAUAGGUUAAUGAGGCGAACCGGGGGAACUGAAACAUCUAAGUACCCCGAGGAAAAGAAAUCAACCGAGAUUCCCCCAGUAGCGGCGAGCGAACGGGGAGGAGCCCAGAGCCUGAAUCAGCAUGUGUGUUAGUGGAAGCGUCUGGAAAGGCGCGCGAUACAGGGUGACAGCCCCGUACACAAAAGCGCAUGUGCUGUGAGCUCGAUGAGUAGGGCGGGACACGUGGUAUCCUGUCUGAAUAUGGGGGGACCAUCCUCCAAGGCUAAAUACUCCUGACUGACCGAUAGUGAACCAGUACCGUGAGGGAAAGGCGAAAAGAACCCCGGCGAGGGGAGUGAAAAAGAACCUGAAACCGUGUACGUACAAGCAGUGGGAGCACAGGUUUACCUGUGUGACUGCGUACCUUUUGUAUAAUGGGUCAGCGACUUAUAUUCUGUAGCAAGGUUAACCGCAUAGGGGAGCCGGAGGGAAACCGAGUCUUAAUUGGGCGUUAAGUUGCAGGGUAUAGACCCGAAACCCGGUGAUCUAGCCAUGGGCAGGUUGAAGGUUGGGUAACACUAACUGGAGGACCGAACCGACUAAUGUUGAAAAAUUAGCGGAUGACCUGUGGCUGGGGGUGAAAGGCCAAUCAAACCGGGAGAUAGCUGGUUCUCCCCGAAAGCUAUUUAGGUAGCGCCUCGUGAAUUCAUCUCCGGGGGUAGAGCACUGUUUCGGCUAGGGGGCCAUCCCGGCUUACCAACCCGAUGCAAACUGCGAAUACCGGAGAAUGUUAUCACGGGAGACACACGGCGGGUGCUAACGUCCGUCGUGAAGAGGGAAACAACCCAGACCGCCAGCUAAGGUCCCAAAGUCAUGGUUAAGUGGGAAACGAUGUGGGAAGGCCCAGACAGCCAGGAUGUUGGCUUAGAAGCAGCCAUCAUUUAAAGAAAGCGUAAUAGCUCACUGGUCGAGUCGGCCUGCGCGGAAGAUGUAACGGGGCUAAACCAUGCACCGAAGCUGCGGCAGCGAACGUAUCACUUAAAGCGAUUCAGCGGGUUACGAUUGACGGAGCGAAGCGACGUCAAAGCGUAUACAAAGUCGAGUCGGUUUAAGGAUACGUUCGUUGGGUAGGGGAGCGUUCUGUAAGCCUGUGAAGGUGGCCUGUGAGGGUUGCUGGAGGUAUCAGAAGUGCGAAUGCUGACAUAAGUAACGAUAAAGCGGGUGAAAAGCCCGCUCGCCGGAAGACCAAGGGUUCCUGUCCAACGUUAAUCGGGGCAGGGUGAGUCGACCCCUAAGGCGAGGCCGAAAGGCGUAGUCGAUGGGAAACGGGUUAAUAUUCCCGUACUUGGUGUUACUGCGAAGGGGGGACGGAGAAGGCUAUGUUGGCCGGGCGACGGUUGUCCCGGUUUAAGCGUGUAGGUGUGUGUUCCAGGUAAAUCCGGUUCACUUUAACACUGAGGCGUGACGACGAGGCACUACGGUGCUGAAGCAACAAAUGCCCUGCUUCCAGGAAAAGCCUCUAAGCAUCAGGUAACAUCAAAUCGUACCCCAAACCGACACAGGUGGUCAGGUAGAGAAUACCAAGGCGCUUGAGAGAACUCGGGUGAAGGAACUAGGCAAAAUGGUGCCGUAACUUCGGGAGAAGGCACGCUGACAUGUAGGUGAAGUGAUUUACUCAUGGAGCUGAAGUCAGUCGAAGAUACCAGCUGGCUGCAACUGUUUAUUAAAAACACAGCACUGUGCAAACACGAAAGUGGACGUAUACGGUGUGACGCCUGCCCGGUGCCGGAAGGUUAAUUGAUGGGGUCAGCGCAAGCGAAGCUCCUGAUCGAAGCCCCGGUAAACGGCGGCCGUAACUAUAACGGUCCUAAGGUAGCGAAAUUCCUUGUCGGGUAAGUUCCGACCUGCACGAAUGGCGUAAUGAUGGCCAGGCUGUCUCCACCCGAGACUCAGUGAAAUUGAACUCGCUGUGAAGAUGCAGUGUACCCGCGGCAAGACGGAAAGACCCCGUGAACCUUUACUAUAGCUUGACACUGAACAUUGAGCCUUGAUGUGUAGGAUAGGUGGGAGGCUUUGAAGUGUGGACGCCAGUCUGCAUGGAGCCGACCUUGAAAUACCACCCUUUAAUGUUUGAUGUUCUAACGUGGACCCGUAAUCCGGGUUGCGGACAGUGUCUGGUGGGUAGUUUGACUGGGGCGGUCUCCUCCUAAAGAGUAACGGAGGAGCACGAAGGUUGGCUAAUCCUGGUCGGACAUCAGGAGGUUAGUGCAAUGGCAUAAGCCAGCUUGACUGCGAGCGUGACGGCGCGAGCAGGUGCGAAAGCAGGUCAUAGUGAUCCGGUGGUUCUGAAUGGAAGGGCCAUCGCUCAACGGAUAAAAGGUACUCCGGGGAUAACAGGCUGAUACCGCCCAAGAGUUCAUAUCGACGGCGGUGUUUGGCACCUCGAUGUCGGCUCAUCACAUCCUGGGGCUGAAGUAGGUCCCAAGGGUAUGGCUGUUCGCCAUUUAAAGUGGUACGCGAGCUGGGUUUAGAACGUCGUGAGACAGUUCGGUCCCUAUCUGCCGUGGGCGCUGGAGAACUGAGGGGGGCUGCUCCUAGUACGAGAGGACCGGAGUGGACGCAUCACUGGUGUUCGGGUUGUCAUGCCAAUGGCACUGCCCGGUAGCUAAAUGCGGAAGAGAUAAGUGCUGAAAGCAUCUAAGCACGAAACUUGCCCCGAGAUGAGUUCUCCCUGAGACUUAGAGUCUCCUGAAGGAACGUUGAAGACGACGACGUUGAUAGGCCGGGUGUGUAAGCGCAGCGAUGCGUUGAGCUAACCGGUACUAAUGAACCGUGAGGCUUAACCUUACAACGCCGAAG
rnacentral:rRNA from 1 species